GGUGAGAUCAAUAAUCCUCCAUGAUCUGC
rnacentral:piRNA from 1 species